GAUGAACGCUGGCGGCGUGCCUAAUACAUGCAAGUCGAGCGAACAGACGAGGAGCUUGCUCCUCUGACGUUAGCGGCGGACGGGUGAGUAACACGUGGAUAACCUACCUAUAAGACUGGGAUAACUUCGGGAAACCGGAGCUAAUACCGGAGCAUAUAUUGAACCGCAUGGUUCAAUAGUGAAAGACGGCUUUGCUGUCACUUAUAGAUGGAUCCGCGCCGCAUUAGCUAGUUGGUAAGGUAACGGCUUACCAAGGCGACGAUGCGUAGCCGACCUGAGAGGGUGAUCGGCCACACUGGAACUGAGACACGGUCCAGACUCCUACGGGAGGCAGCAGUAGGGAAUAUUCCGCAAUGGGCGAAAGCCUGACGGAGCAACGCCGCGUGAGUGAUGAAGGUCUUCGGAUCGUAAAACUCUGUUAUUAGGGAAGAACAAAUGUGUAAUUAACUAUGCACGUCUUGACGGUACCUAAUCAGAAAGCCACGGCUAACUACGUG
rnacentral:rRNA from 1 species